AGGAGGAUGGAGGGUAGGUGAAGAAGAUGAUGGUGGAGGGGUUUUCCCGGCGGCCGGAGCACCUGCCGGCAGCCGUGGUGCGUGCACGGCUAGGGCAAAGGUGCAGAGGUGUCGCAGGGAGGUCGGCUGAGGGAGAAGGUGAACAGGUUAGGGUUUUCCAUGAUGAAACCCUAGAGAGUCCAUAUAUGAUUGUCAACUUUGCACACAAGUCCCUCUAAACUGAUUAUUAGAAAUUCAAUCCUUCCCAGUGCGAGUAAUUUACACGUACGCACCUCCACGUCUGAUUUCGCGCGAUUCGGUACAUAAAAUAUGGGGACUUUUGCGAAACUUCCAAUUAGUCAUCACUUUAGACCCCUUUUCGAACAUCAUGCGAUAUCCGGCAAUCCGUUCAUCAGAAUUCCGAACGGAUUGCGCCAUCGCGUUCAGCACGACGGGGACAAUAAACCCACGAUUUUGGUUCACAUCGAUCGGUCACGGAUUCACGACGAAACCCGUCCGCUCUUCAAUUUCCAAAAACCACACACAUAAACCAAUGUGUAAUCCUACUAAAUCCUAGAUUCAAAUUCAAAUUUGAAUCUCC
rnacentral:lncRNA from 1 species